CCUACGGGUGGCAGCAGUGAGGAAUAUUGGUCAAUGGGCGCGAGCCUGAACCAGCCAAGCCGCGUGAGGGAAGAAGGUACUGCGUAUCGUAAACCUCUUUUGUCCGGGAACAAAGGCGGGGACUCGUCCCCGUCUAAGAGUACCUGAAGAAAAAGCAUCGGCUAACUCCGUGCCAGCAGCCGCGGUAAUACGGAGGAUGCGAGCGUUAUCCGGAUUUAUUGGGUUUAAGGGGUGCGCAGGCGGCCGGUUAAGUCAGCGGUAAAAUCCUGGGGCUCAACCCGGGCGUGCCGUUGAAACUGGUCGGCUGGAGCGUAGUUGCGGUAGGCGGAAUGUAUGGUGUAGCGGUGAAAUGCUUAGAGAUCAUACAGAACUCCGAUUGCGAAGGCAGCUUACCAGGGUACUUCUGACGUUGAGGCACGAAAGCGUGGGUAGCGAACAGGAUUAGAUACCCUUGUAGUC
rnacentral:rRNA from 1 species